UACAGAGGUCUCAAGCGUUGUUCGGAUUCAUUGGGCGUAAAGGGUGCGUAGGCGGCGCGGUAAGUCGGGUGUGAAAUCUCGGAGCUUAACUCCGAAACUGCAUUCGAUACUGCCGUGCUUGAGGACUGGAGAGGAGACUGGAAUUUACGGUGUAGCGGUGAAAUGCGUAGAUAUCAGGAGGAACACCGGUGGCGAAGGCGCACAUCUGGCCCGAUACUGACGCUGAGGCGCGAAAGCUAGGGGAGCAAACGGG
rnacentral:rRNA from 1 species